rnacentral:rRNA from 1 species
CGUAGGGCAACCUGCCUCAUAGAGGGGAAUAGCCUUCCGAAAGGGAGAUUAAUACCGCAUAAGAUUGCAGCUUCGCAUGAAGUAGCAAUUAAAGGAGCAAUCCGCUAUGAGAUGGGCCCGCGGCGCAUUAGCUAGUUGGUGAGGUAACGGCUCACCAAGGCGACGAUGCGUAGCCGACCUGAGAGGGUGAUCGGCCACAUUGGGACUGAGACACGGCCCAGACUCCUACGGGAGGCAGCAG